rnacentral:rRNA from 1 species
CACGGCGCACGGGUGCGUAACACGUGGGUAAUCUGCCCUCUGAUGGGGAAUAACUCGCCGAAAGGCGAGCUAAUUCCGCAUAAUAUUCCGAGAACUUUGGUUUUUGGACUGAAAGGCGUAAGUCGUCGGAGGAGGAGCCCGCGCACGAUUAGCUAGUUGGUAGGGUAAUGGCCUACCAAGGCUUUGAUCGUUAGCUGGUCUGAGAGGAUGGCCAGCCACACUGGAACUGAGACACGGUCCAGACUCCUACGGGAGGCAGCAGUGGGGAAUCUUGCACAAUGGGCGAAAGCCUGAUGCAGCGACGCCGCGUGGGGGAUGAAGCUUCUCGGAGUGUAAACCCCUUUCGACCGGGACGAAUACCUCGCAAGAGGGGUGACGGUACCGGUAUAAGAAGCCCCGGCUAACUACGUGCCAGCAGCCGCGGUAAGACGUAGGGGGCCAGCGUUGCUCGGAAUUACUGGGUGUAAAGGGUUCGUAGGCGGUGUGGCAAGUCGGGAGUGAAAUCUCUGGGCUUAACCCAGAGGCUGCUUCCAAAACUGCUGUGCUCGAGUGUGAGAGAGGCUCGUGGAAUUGCAGGUGUAGCGGUGAAAUGCGUAGAUAUCUGCAGGAACACCCGUGGCGAAAGCGGCGAGCUGGAUCACUAC